AGAUCAUCCAUUGCAGUAUUCUGCUUGCUCAGUCUGUGGGGCCUGCUGCAGCAGCUGAUCCAGGUACCUAGGUCAUGACCUCACAGUGGCAAGGGCCUCUAUCCUUAAUGCUCUUCUGUUGCAUCAAACUGUAGGCUUCAGGUAGGCUAGUAGUGUUACUGACUUAUGGCCAUUUGCUGGCUCACCCUGUCUUUUUAUGACUCACAACAAAGAAGAUGGCACUGCUGCUCUCAGGGGAUGUUGUCUCCAUAGCCCAAAGGAGCCAGUUAACACAGUGGAGAGAAUGUUCAGAGAAACAGCCUUUCCACACUACAUCGACACAGACAUCAGCAUGAUGGAGCAACGAAAUGUGCUUUCUGUGGAAACUGGAACUGUGGUAAAUGCCCUUCAUGGAUUGUAUUAAUUAUUCACAGUGAUCUAUAAGCUAUUUUGAAAGACACUGGAGUUAGCAGGAAAAAAAAGAUCCAAUUCUCAAGAUACUUCCAGUCUAAUAUGACAAAAGGAUGACGCCUUUCUUUGCACAUUGAAGCUGAUGUACAAUUCUUUGUGGAUUACAAGCUUCUGUAAAACAGAGAGCAUGUUCUACUCUUUAUCCCCUAUUAUAGCAGCUAGAGGGCGAAGAAUAAAGCAGUUUAACUCUGCUGGGCAAUAAUCUAAUUUUUCACUUUUUCUCUGAAAAUGACCUGCCUCUCCUAAAGUGUUCAAUUCUUAGCAACCUUGUUUUUUGCACAGUACAAUUCCCUGGGGCUACAACUGAUCAGUCCAGAGGAGGAUCUAUUACCCGAGCUAGGCUAACCAGCCUCCUUCUCCAGGACAUUGGCUGGGGUGGACAGAAGAUCAGGCUCUCUCCAGACAGCAGAAAUGGUUGCAAGUAAACUCAUGCACUCAUGACAGCCACUCAUAGCAGCCCAAU
rnacentral:lncRNA from 1 species